GAAUUUUAUAAAUAUUAUAUUAAAAUUCAUUAAGAUUAAUAUUUAUUUGGUUGGAAGGACAUUUAAAUUAAAUUAACUUUAAAUUAAUUGAUAUCAUUAAUUAACGAAAAAUGAAUUAAUAUUAAUGAUAAGAUAGAGAUUACAUUAAUAAUAGCAUAAAUUACCUUAGGGAUAACAGCAUUAUGUUUUUGGAGAGUUCGUAUUGAUAAAAAUGUUUGU
rnacentral:rRNA from 1 species